UCUACGGGUGGCUGCAGUGGGGAAUAUUGCACAAUGGGCGCAAGCCUGAUGCAGCCAUGCCGCGUGUGUGAAGAAGGCCUUCGGGUUGUAAAGCACUUUCAGCGGGGAGGAAGGCGGUGAGGUUAAUAACCUCAUCGAUUGACGUUACCCGCAGAAGAAGCACCGGCUAACUCCGUGCCAGCAGCCGCGGUAAUACGGAGGGUGCAAGCGUUAAUCGGAAUUACUGGGCGUAAAGCGCACGCAGGCGGUCUGUCAAGUCGGAUGUGAAAUCCCCGGGCUCAACCUGGGAACUGCAUUCGAAACUGGCAGGCUAGAGUCUUGUAGAGGGGGGUAGAAUUCCAGGUGUAGCGGUGAAAUGCGUAGAGAUCUGGAGGAAUACCGGUGGCGAAGGCGGCCCCCUGGACAAAGACUGACGCUCAGGUACGAAAGCGUGGGGAGCAAACAGGAUUAGAUACCCUAGUAGUC
rnacentral:rRNA from 1 species